AUAUGGCUGCACAAAUUCCAGAAUCUGAUCAGAUAAAACCGUUUAAAGAAUUUCUUGGAACCUACAAUAAACUUACAGAAACCUGCUUUUUGGACUGUGUUAAAGUCUUCACAACAAGAGAAGUAAAACCUGAAGAGACCAUCUGUUCAGAAUAUUGCUUACAGAAAUAUUUAAAAAUGACGCAAAGAAUAUCCAUGAGAUUUCAGGAAUAUCCUAUUCAGCAGAAUGAAGCCCUGGCAGACAAAGCAGGACUCCUUGGCCAGCAACGAUAGAGACGUCCUGAGGGGUGGACUUUCCCUGAAAGGUUGCCAAUAGCUUUGCACUGGAAGUGAGGCUUCAUCUAAUAGAAUCCCCUGAAAGCAGUAGCCACCAUGUUAACCAUCUGUCAUGACUGGCAAAUGGAAACCACUGGAGAAACAAAAUUGCUAUUUACCAGGGAUAAUCAAAAUAGAAGGUCUUAUUGUCCAAUCAAAAUGUAAGAUGCAACAUUUGUUGAGUCUUUAUGAUUCAGGAGCUUAGUCACUUGAUUAGAAAAAUAAACCAUUAUUUCUUCAA